UAUCCUACGGGGGGCAGCAGUGAGGAAUAUUGGUCAAUGGGCGGAAGCCUGAACCAGCCAAGUCGCGUGAGGGAAGAAGGCCCUGCGGGUCGCAGACCUCUUUGGACGGGGAGCAAGGCCGCCGACGUGUCGGCGGAAGGAGAGUACCCGUAGAACAAGCAUCGGCUAACUACGUGCCAGCAGCCGCGGUAAUACGUAGGUGGCGAGCGUUGUCCGGAUUUACUGGGCGUAAAGGGAGCGUAGGCGGACUUUUAAGUGAGAUGUGAAAUACUCGGGCUCAACUUGAGUGCUGCAUUUCAAACUGG
rnacentral:rRNA from 1 species